rnacentral:rRNA from 1 species
GUUUUCAUUAAUCAAGAACGAAAGUUAGGGGAUCGAAGACGAUCAGAUACCGUCGUAGUCUUAACCAUAAACGAUGCCGACCAGCGAUUAGGAGACGUUGAAUACAAAACACCACCAUCGGCGCGGUCGUCCUUGGCGUCUGUCCCUUUCAACGGGGGCAUGGCGCGAGGGCGGUUUAGCCCGGUGGCACCGGUGAAUGACUCCCCUAGAGCCUUGUGAGAA